GACGAACGCUGGCGGCGCGCUUAACACAUGCAAGUCGAGCGAGAACCGAGGCUUCGGCCUCGGGGACAGCGGCGAACGGGUGAGUAACACGUGGAUUACCUGCCCUCGGCACCGGGAUAGCCCGGGGAAACUCGGAUUAAUACCGGAUAGCCCUUUCGGCUUUCGAGCCGGUCGGAAAAGGUAGCUUCGGCCUCUGGCCGAGGAUGGGUCCGCGGCGGAUUAGCUUGUUGGCGGGGUAACGGCCUACCAAGGCUUCGAUCCGAGCUGGUCUGAGAGGACGAUCAGCCACACUGGGACUGAGACACGGCCCAGACUCCUACGGGAGGGCAGCAGUGGGGAAGUCUUGCGCAAUGGGCGAAAGCCUGACGCAGCGACGCCGCGUGA
rnacentral:rRNA from 1 species